rnacentral:rRNA from 1 species
CCUACGGGAGGCAGCAGUGGGGAAUUUUGGACAAUGGGCGCAAGCCUGAUCCAGCAAUGCCGCGUGAGUGAAGAAGGCCUUCGGGUUGUAAAGCUCUUUUGUCAGGGAAGAAACGGCUGAGGUUAAUACCUUUGGCUAAUGACGGUACCUGAAGAAUAAGCACCGGCUAACUACGUGCCAGCAGCCGCGGUAAUACGUAGGGUGCAAGCGUUAAUCGGAAUUACUGGGCGUAAAGCGUGCGCAGGCGGUUUUGUAAGUCUGUCGUGAAAGCCCCGGGCUCAACCUGGGAAUUGCGAUGGAGACUGCAAGGCUUGAAUCUGGCAGAGGGGGGUAGAAUUCCACGUGUAGCAGUGAAAUGCGUAGAGAUGUGGAGGAACACCGAUGGCGAAGGCAGCCCCCUGGGUCAAGAUUGACGCUCAUGCACGAAAGCGUGGGGAGCAAACAGGAUUAGAUACCCUGGUAGUCCACGCCCUAAACGAUGUCUACUAGUUGUCGGGUUUUAAUUAACUUGGUAACGCAGCUAACGCGUGAAGUAGACCGCCUGGGGAGUACGGUCGCAAGAUUAAAACUCAAAGGAAUUGACGG